UGCCCAGCAACUCCUAUCCCUACCUCCACGCGGUACCGGCCGGAAACUAUGACCAACCUUAGGAAAGAUCGGGUAACCAACCCCGGUGGGAACUUUGAUCGUAGGCUGACAGGGAAGG
rnacentral:ribozyme from 1 species